UAAUUACCGACAGCAGAGUUUUUGAAGAAUACUUUAUCAGUCUAAGUUGAUUUAUUUUGCUUUAGUGUCCCUUUAAGCCGUGUUACAUACAGAAUUUUACACCAACUUGGGAGAAAAAGGGAUGAACUUCAUUGUCCAAACGGCUCAUUGUGUGAACUAUCGUCGCUGGUAACACACUCAAGUGUUGCUUUGAGGCAUGAGGAACUAUACACCAUGCCCGAAAUUGUGAUGCAAAGUUUGUUAGCUUUAUGAAAAGAAUAAUAAAAACAAUACCAUAUGAGUCAACAUAAAACGUCAAGAGCCCUUGGAAUUGGAACUUGGUCUGUCGUUAAAGGUAUAGGUUAUAGCGCUUUUCCUCUUUCUCGUGUUAACUCAAUAGUAGAGGUGUGCAAAUAUUCUAAAUUUUGAAUAUGAAUUGAAUAGUCCCUGCUACUCGAUUAGAGAAUUCACUAUUUGAAGUUGUCGAAUAUUUGGAUCUUUCGAAUAUAUGAGGGAUAAAAACACUUUUUGUUGUCUCCAGGAAGAUAAAAUGACGGAUGUGACGACUGUUCUGAAUGAUUCUGCUGCAGGGACAGCGGUAGUUGUUGUACGGGGACACCAGUUCCUGAGCAAGUGCAUGGGACCGAUAACUGGUGCUGAAUAAUUUCUGAUCGUU
rnacentral:lncRNA from 1 species